UAUCUCUGUAGAGUCUGCAUAUCAAUAAGCGGAGGAAAAGAAACUAACUAAGGAUUCCCUAGUAACGGCGAGUGAAGCGGGAAGAGCUCAAAUUUGAAAUCUUCAAGGUUCUACCUUGACGAAUUGUAGUUUAAAGAAGUGUUUUCUGUUGAAGUUUUGGUAAAAGUUCUUUGGAAUAGGACAUCAUAGAGGGUGAGAAUCCCGUAUUUGACCAUUAUUCUUCAGCUGUGUGAUACACUUUCAAAGAGUCGGAUUGUUUGGGAAUGCAGUCCAAAAUGGGUGGUAAAUUUCAUCUAAAGCUAAAUAUUGGCGAGAGACCGAUAGCGAACAAGUACCGUGAGGGAAAGAUGAAAAGAACUUUGAAAAGAGAGUUAAACAGUACGUGAAAUUGUCAAAAGGGAAGCGUUUGACACCAGUGUUGUUUUCUCGAAAAUCAAUUAAAAAAGGCUGGAUUUUGUGUUGUAUUGACUUAUCAAGCUUUCUUCACUCUUUUCUUGUCUUUUUUAAUGCACUUUUCGUUUAACAAGUCAACAUCAGUUUCUUUUGUUGUAAAAGGGUCAUUGGAAGGUGGCUUUCUUUUCGGAGAAAGUGUUUAUAGCCUUUGCUCUCUGCAAUCGGAGAGAUUGAGGUCUGCAGCGUAGACUCCUUCGGGGUUAGAUACAUUUGUGCUAAGUUAUAGCCUUUCAUAGACAACUUGUUGACUAUGAUCAGUCAUGUAGCUUACUCGCUUAUGCUAUUUUACCUACGCUUAGGAUGUUGAGUAGCGACAUACGCAC
rnacentral:rRNA from 1 species